GACGAACGCUGGCGGCGUGCUUAACACAUGCAAGUCGAACGGAAAGGCCCUGCUCUUGGGGGGCGCUCGAGUGGCGAACGGGUGAGUAACACGUGAGUAACCUGCCCUUGACUCUGGGAUAACUUCAGGAAACUGGGGCUAACACCGGAGAGGCGCUCCUGCUGCAGGGGGGGGGGUGGAAAGUUGCGGCGGUGGGGGUUGGUCUCGCGGCUUAUCCGCUUGUUGUUGGGGUAGUGGCUUACCAAGGCUUUGACGGGUAGCCGGCCUGAGAGGGUGACCGGCCACAUUGGGACUGGGAUACGGCCCACACUCCUCCGGGAGGCAGCAGUGGGGAAUAUUGCACAAUGGGCGGAAGCCUGGUGCAGAAACCCGGCGUCCGGGAUGACGGCCUUCGGGUUGUAGACGACUUUCGCCUGUACCGAAGCGUGUGUGACGGUAAUGGGUAAAGAAGCACCGGCUAACUACGUG
rnacentral:rRNA from 1 species